GCCUACGGGGCGCAGCAGUAGGGAAUUUUCGUCAAUGGGCGCAAGCCUGAACGAGCAAUGCCGCGUGAACGAGGAAGGUCUUCGGAUCGUAAAGUUCUGUUGUAGGGGAAAAAGAGCGGAGAGAGGAAAUGCUUUCUGAUUGAUAUUACCCUUCGAGGAAGUCACGGCUAACUACGUGCCAGCAGCCGCGGUAAUACGUAGGUGGCGAGCGCUAUCCGGAAUGAUUGGGCGUAAAGGGUGCGUAGGCGGCCUGCUAAGUCUGGAGUGAAAGGCACCGGCUCAACCGGUACAGGCUCUGGAAACUG
rnacentral:rRNA from 1 species